rnacentral:lncRNA from 1 species
UAUGGCUAAUCAUGGACUAAUUAGUCUCAAGAAAUUCGUCUCACGAUUUCUUUUCCAUAACUAUGCAAUUAGUUUUUUCUUCACCUAUGUUUAAUAUUUUAUUCCGAUGUUCAAAGAUUUGAUGUGGUGUUUUUGGGAAAACUUUCUGGGAACUAUACGAGGCCUUAGCUGAUUGAUAAUAGUCCCGGCGAAGAUGAGCUUAUAUUUGUAGUACAAAG